UACAGAGGGGGCAAGCGUUGUUCGGAAUUACUGGGCGUAAAGGGCGCGUAGGCGGCCUGCUAAGUCGAACGUGAAAUCCCCGGGCUCAACCCGGGAACUGCGUCCGAUACUGACAGGCUUGAAUCCGGGAGAGGGAUGUGGAAUUCCAGGUGUAGCGGUGAAAUGCGUAGAUAUCUGGAGGAACACCGGUGGCGAAGGCGCCGCUCUGGGCCGUGACUGACGCUGAGGAGCGAAAGCGUGGGGAGCGAACAGG
rnacentral:rRNA from 1 species